rnacentral:rRNA from 1 species
UAGGGAAUCUUCGGCAAUGGGGGCAACCCUGACCGAGCAACGCCGCGUGAGUGAAGAAGGUUUUCGGAUCGUAAAGCUCUGUUGUAAGUCAAGAACGAGUGUGAGAGUGGAAAGUUCACACUGUGACGGUAGCUUACCAGAAAGGGACGGCUAACUACGUGCCAGCAGCCGCGGUAAUACGUAGGUCCCGAGCGUUGUCCGGGUUUAUUGGGCGUAAAGCGAGCGCAGGCGGUUUGAUAAGUCUGAAGUUAAAGGCUGUGGCUCAACCAUAGUUCGCUUUGGAAACUGUCAAACUUGAGUGCAGAAGGGGAGAGUGGAAUUCCAUGUGUAGCGGUGAAAUGCGUAGAUAUAUGGAGGAACACCGGUGGCGAAAGCGGCUCUCUGGUCUGUAACUGACGCUGAGGCUCGAAAGCGUGAGGAGCGAACAGGAUUAGAUACCCUGGUAGUCCACGCCGUAAACGAUGAGUGCUAGGUGUUGGAUCCUUUCCGGGAUUCAGUGCCGCAGCUAACGCAUUAAGCACUCCGCCUGGGGAGUACGACCGCAAGGUUG